UUGCUACCUGACCUAGCGGCGGACGGGUGAGUAAUGCUUAGGAAUCUGCCUAUUAGUGGGGGACAACAUCUCGAAAGGGAUGCUAAUACCGCAUACGUCCUACGGGAGAAAGCAGGGGACCUUCGGGCCUUGCGCUAAUAGAUGAGCCUAAGUCGGAUUAGCUAGUUGGUGGGGUAAAGGCCUACCAAGGCGACGAUCUGUAGCGGGUCUGAGAGGAUGAUCCGCCACACUGGGACUGAGACACGGCCCAGACUCCUACGGGAGGCAGCAGUGGGGAAUAUUGGACAAUGGGGGGAACCCUGAUCCAGCCAUGCCGCGUGUGUGAAGAAGGCCUUUUGGUUGUAAAGCACUUUAAGCGAGGAGGAGGCUACCGAGAUUAAUACUCUUGGAUAGUGGACGUUACUCGCAGAAUAAGCACCGGCUAACUCUGUGCCAGCAGCCGCGGUAAUACAGAGGGUGCAAGCGUUAAUCGGAUUUACUGGGCGUAAAGCGCGCGUAGGUGGCCAAUUAAGUCAAAUGUGAAAUCCCCGAGCUUAACUUGGGAAUUGCAUUCGAUACUGGUUGGCUAGAGUAUGGGAGAGGAUGGUAGAAUUCCAGGUGUAGCGGUGAAA
rnacentral:rRNA from 1 species